AUGGGAACGCGAAGAACCUUACCUAGACUUGACAUCUCCUGAAUAGUGUAGAGAUACAUGAAGCCCUUCGGGGCAGGAAGACAGGUGGUGCAUGGUUGUCGUCAGCUCGUGUCGUGAGAUGUUGGGUUAAGUCCCGCAACGAGCGCAACCCUUAUUACUAGUUGCUACCAUUAAGUUGAGCACUCUAGUGAGACUGCCCGGGUUAACCGGGAGGAAGGCGGGGAUGACGUCAAAUCAUCAUGCCCCUUAUGUCUAGGGCAACACACGUGCUACAAUGGUGAGUACAGAUAGAUGCGAUACCGCAAGGUGAGCCAAACUCUAAAACUCAUCCCAGUUCGGAUUGUAGGCUGCAACUCGCCUACAUGAAGUUGGAGUUGCUAGUAAUCGCGAAUCAGAAUGUCGCGGUGAAUACGUUCCCGGGUCUUGUACACACCG
rnacentral:rRNA from 1 species